GAUUUGCAGUCCCCCGCCUUACCACUCGGCCAUGCCGCCAAAAUGAUACAAAAUAGAAUAGAUGCAAUUUU
rnacentral:tRNA from 1 species